rnacentral:lncRNA from 1 species
GGGGCACUUAGUUUCCUAUUGAUUUUUCAGGGGAGAGCUGCCAAGGAGAGUUGCCUGAUUUGAGUGGAAUUAUGACAGGUUUUCUUCGUUAAGCCGCUGAGAUUGUUUCAAAAGCUGGUAACAAUCGUCCUGACUAAUAUACUAGCCUUUGACAAAUGUUUUAUCAACAACCACUUGAAACCAGAUUCAGAUUCAAGCUCUGUCUAGGAUUAAUGACCCAAGCCUGCACAGGAAUCAUAAAACUGAAUAUUGAGCUUGGGUACAGACUCUUGGAUGAGAACUGAACCUGAGGACAUGCUAAAAACAGGAGGGCACUCUAAACUGUCUGGUCUGGUGGAUCAUCAAAGCAGUGAGGGAAGGAGGAUGAUCUCAGCUGCAGGACUUUCUCCUCUCAAGAAACCUGGAACUUCGAGGGAGAUGGCAUGGCCUCCGAGCCAUCAGACUCCUCUACGCCAAGCAGAAAAAAGAACACUUUGAGAGUCUAUAUAUUCAUAUAUUUUCACUCUAUUCAGCAAACACGCACUGAGCGCCUCUUCUUGCAUCAUGUGCUCUGCGCAUGUGCGCGUGGGGGCGCACGCACGUGCGUGUGUGCGCACACAGACGCCAGAAUCAUUUUCUUUCUCAAAGACGGGUUAAAUCUUUUUAAAACCCCAGAGAAGAUAUUCCCAGAGUUUGGUUAUCCUGAAAUUGAUUUUUCCAGACUCUAGUUGUAUAAUAAAGAACACAUCAGGCCCUGGAGACAUUUUUGUCUAUAUCAGCCGGUACCGAAGCUAAUUAAUACACAGGAGAGUAUUUCUUCUUUGGGAAAAUAUCAGCCCAUUAGUGCAGAUUAUAAGGGAGGACCUCUGUGAGCAUCCAAGUGUGAACUAUUGAGAAGUUGAAGAGUGGAAAAACGUAAAUAAUGGAGGAAGUUUGCAAAGCAAAAGGGAAUAGGGAUUUCCCAGGAAUAAGUAAGCAGAGAGGUGGUGGCUGCCUGGAGGGCCGGAGGAGCAGCAGAGAACACAGCAGCCAACCCUGUCAGAGCGCCUACCCGCAUCCCCCAGCACUCAGUGGCUCAGUGCUCACAGACUUCCAACUGCAACGCAACCCUGUCAGAGCGCCUACCCGCAUCCCCCAGCACUCAGUGGCUCAGUGCUCACAGACUUCCAACUGCAACGCAACCCUGUCAGAGCGCCUACCCGCAUCCCCCAGCACUCAGUGGCUCAGUGCUCACAGACUUCAACUGCAACGCAACCCUGUCAGAGCGCCUACCUGCAUCCCCCAGCACUCCGUGGCUCAGUGCUCACAGACUUCAACUGCAACGCCUUGCUUAGGGACUUCCUAUGGCCUCUAGAGCUGGCAGUUAGUGUGGGCCAGGCAGGCAGAAAGUGCCUUGCCCGUAAUACCCCUGGAAACAGUCAAGGACUGGCUGGAGUUGGUGGAAAAUACCCUGGCGGAAGGCAACUCUGAGGCAUGCUCCAUGUGCCCUCGCAGAGGUCCCCAGUGGACCUGAGCCCCACCUGCCCGUGGAGCUAACCUGCUCAUUAGUGCACCACGCACUGGCUUCCUUCAGUUCCUUAUCUUAACUCCCCAUUCCCUUAUGAUGGGAUUGACUCCCAAAUCAAUGUUUUGCACUCAAAUCUUCCUCUCAGGGUCUGUGUCUGGGGGAACCUAACGUAAGACAAAUACCAUGCGUGAGGUUUAACAUGAGCACAGACCACGGAAGUGGCUGCUUGCACACCAGGUGUUUUGCAGCCCUCAUUUGAGUGUUGAGAAGAGAAGUCGUAGGUGUGUGGCUGUGCAACAUUGUGCUGUCAUCGGUAAAGUCAGGGAAGAAUAGCUACCUCCCAGGUUUUGGAAAAAAUAAACUACAUGAUUCUCCUGCA